GUGUUCGGGUGCAUCACGUGGUGUGGAGCAGACAACGCUGAGACGCGCUCAGCCUAUGGAUCGCGGCGGCUCAUUAACCAUGCACCUGCAGAUCAUCACAGAGCAAUCAGCACGCUCUAUUUAAGAGGAGGCUUGAAGCGUGGCUGGUUGCUAGUUCGUCAGCGUGUGUACGCCGUCUGCUGCGGUUUUGAGCUCGCCUACCUGGACGAUCCUACAGCGCGAUUUCGAGGACCUGACUGUGUUCCAUGCCGGCUCGGAUAAUCACAGCGUGCCUCACCCGGACGUCUCGCACCGGGUCGCCACCACUUACCUGCCACUGCACCAGAUUCCCGAAAGGGUUAUUGCGCGCACACCCACACAAACACUUGUGUAAAUAAACUGCACUUUUGAACUUUA